CUUUCUUUUUCUUUCUAGAAAGUUCUGAACUUUCAGUACCAAACCUCUUUCUCUUCCUACUAUAUACAAUGCCAAACAUUCUAUCAACCAAACCACCAUUCACCUCACUCGUUACUAAAGAAACAUUAUUUUCCCUUUCCCUUGUUAUUGCCACGUCAGCAUUCUUAUUUACGAUGGAAGCGGCCUCCGCGGUGUGGCGUCUGGCGGUGGAUUUUGUGGUGGUCGGUGGCGGCGGCGGCUUAUGCAAAUCAUAGUCUGCCUUCAGCUUCUUUUUCUUUGGCUUGUCGGUUUCCGGCAAGAGGCGGCGGCCUGAGCGGAGAACGCGCCCAGAAUCGGGGCCUUUGGUGACCAACCCGAAAACCCUUG
rnacentral:lncRNA from 1 species